rnacentral:rRNA from 1 species
CCUACGGGGGGCAGCAGUGAGGAAUAUUGGGCAAUGGAGGCAACUCUGACCCAGCCAUGCCGCGUGAGUGAAGAAGGUUUUCGGAUUGUAAAGCUCUUUUGGAUGUGACGAUGAUGACGGUAGCAUCUAAAGAAGCCCCGGCUAACUUCGUGCCAGCAGCCGCGGCAAUACGAAGGGGGCAAGCGUUGUUCGGAAUUACUGGGCGUAAAGGGAGUGUAGGGGGUUUAGUAAGAUAGUGGUGAAAUCCCAGAGCUUAACUUUGUAAGUGCCAUUAUAACUAUUAGACUAGAAUUACAGAGAGGAUAGUGGAAUGCCCAGUGUAGAGGUGAAAUUCGUAGAUAUUGGGUAGAACACCAGUGGCGAAGGCAACUAUCUGGCUGUACAUUGACGCUGAGGCUCGAAAGCAUGGGGAUCGAACAGGAUUAGAUACCCCUGUAGUC